rnacentral:rRNA from 1 species
GACGAACGCUGGCGGCGUGCCUAAUACAUGCAAGUAGAACGCUGAAGGAGGAGCUUGCUCUUCUGGAUGAGUUGCGAACGGGUGAGUAACGCGUAGGUAACCUGCCUGGUAGCGGGGGAUAACUAUUGGAAACGAUAGCUAAUACCGCAUAACAGUAGAUGUUGCAUGACAUUUACUUAAAAGGUGCAAUUGCAUCACUACCAGAUGGACCUGCGUUGUAUUAGCUAGUUGGUGGGGUAACGGCUCACCAAGGCGACGAUACAGAGCCGACCUGAGGGGGUGGUCGGCCACAAUGGGACUGAGACACGGCCCAGACUCCUACGGGAAGCAGCAGGAGGGAAACUUCGGCAAUGGACGGAAGUCUGACCGAGCAACGCCGCGGGAGUGAAGAAGGUUGUCGGAGCGUAAAGCUCUGUUGUAAGAGAAGAACGAGUGUGAGAGUGGAAAGUUCACACUGUGACGGUAUCUUACCAGAAAGGAACGGCUAAAUACGUG